rnacentral:lncRNA from 1 species
GGUCCCCAGGGAUUAGACCAGCCAGAGAAACAACACAGGAACAGAAGACCCAGCCUCUCCCAAGUCGAUGGAGAAGGAAACAACCGUACCACCCGGUCAACCAGGCAGGAAAUUCGUUCUCCUUUAAACACUUAGACGAAGCACGGAAUUCAUCUUAAGGAGUCAUGGAGAUGCAGUUACAUAAAGGAUGAAACAAAGAAAAAAUUCAUCCCAUCACUGCUAACAUAUGCCCAAGACCAAGUCUUGGGCACACAGGCCUUUGGGAGACAUUUCAGACCUGAGCUACAGCAGCAGCCAUCUGGUGACAGGAGACAAAUGAAGACAGGACCCAGCUGUGAAGCAGAGCUUCUAGUACUUGGUAGAACCACACUGAAGAACGCACACCCAGGAGUGUCCUGCAAAGAGCUUAUGGGGAAAGAUGCAGACAGAGGAACGGUGGCGGCAGCGCCAAGGAGUGUCUCUGCAGGCCUGCAGCGAAGCGCACCCUUGCUGUGACGGACACCUGUUUCUGUGAAACUAAACUUAGCAUCUGUUUUGAGGCUCCCAUUGCAAUAACAAACUAACCAGGGUC